GGCGGGGGUGCCCGUGGUGUCAUGGCGGCGUUGUGGUGGGUUUGGGUGCGAACCGCCGCCGCCCUCAGGGCUUGGGGCGGGAGGUUUCCCCGUCACAGGCCUUGGAGCGUGUCGCAACGUUUGUAAUCCGCGUGUGCGACCGUGUUGGUGAGAGCAGAGAAAAUGGGAAGAAAAAGCCAUGUGCGCUGCAGCCCGCCCGGUGUCAUCCCGGCUGAUCGGCUCCUUGAGGAGAGCGGUGCCUGAACUGCAUCGAGGUGAGCACAGCAGUUGUUGUUGGACUGAGGUGAAACCUGGAGAUAAGAGUUGUGACUCCUUGUCAAGAGAUCUUAGAGCAGCUGGAGAAUAGAGCAAAAGGAGAUAAAUGUUCUUGGCCUGGUCCUAGGGAGAAUGCAAUGCUUACACCAGAACAGCCAGGCUCCCCCACUGCAGGAGCAACAGCUCAGAGCAGGAGAGACCAUCACAGCUACAAGCAUCUCAAAGACUGAAGCACUCCAAGGGGAGAGAGGACACACUGUAUAUGCACGGGGCAGCGGUCUGAAAGUCAAAGAUACGAGCAGAGACACGUAAGGAUGUCACACUGUAUAAGGAACAGAAGCUCCAUUUCUAAUUGUUCUGUGGUGGAGUUACAUGACCGAACAGAGCUGUGGAUGUUAAUCUGCUGUGCUUGUAAUGCACUGAGUGGCUUCUAGCUCAUCCUUUGCUUCCAUCUGUUUGUCCCCAGCUGUACUACUCCCGUUGAGCCUACACAACGAUCUCCAGGGAAGAGAAGACAAGCAGGCAUUGACCCUGAGGACAGGGAGUAGCAAAAUCAAGCUGGACCAUCUGUGGAGAGCUCGGUGCCUGCCAUCCCAGCAGCUGCAGGAGGAUACUGGGAGAGGCUGAGAGCUCGAAAAUCAAAACAAAAUCAUGGUGACAGAAAAACACCCAUCAGCCCUAAGCAACUCUUCACUUGUCUCCAGAAAUCUGGACCUGUGAUUGAUUUAAGUGUGUAGAAAUGAGCAGCCGGGUGUUCAGCCUUCCUUUCUCCUCCGUGGGACCAGGGGGAAGCACCUGCCAUGGCAAAGGGACAAGAACUGGGUGCGACAGGAAUGCCGCCAGCGCCAUGCGAUCCCAGGGCUGGGACUUUGUGUGCUGAAAUCCAAGAGAUAACAAAUGAAGGUAAAACAUCUGAGAAGCCUAAAAAGCAAUGGAUGAAGCAGGACACAGGAAUCUCUUUCUGGUGACACCAGGAAUAGAGGAUCAGUUUCAAAAUGAAACACAUGGGGGCUGACAAGCAUCCAGUGACAUCUCAUUUGACUUUGGCUCUUUCUAAGGUCAGAAUCAAGUAAUUGUUUUAUAAAACUCAAAUUUGCUAGAAGGGCUUAAUGCAUUUUUUAGUAGGGCUGAGUAAUAAAGUAAUUGUAGAUUUAUUGCUGCUCUUAACACCAGGAGAAAGAUACAUUGUUCCACUUGGGACCACUUAAGCAUAUAGUGUUUUAAAGGAUACAGCUUAAUUAAUAAUUACAGAAGUGUUGAUUCACCUCCCUUUUUCUUUGUUUCAUGUAUACUUUGAGGAAGAAAUGGAAAUAUGGCUUUGCAAUGCCUUACCCAUCGUCUUUAGGGACAGAAAUCCGGCUAGGCUUUCCCUGGUUGCCCAGAGCCUUUGUGGCAACCCCAAGCAAAUGACCUAUUCCCAUCACAGCCCCUUGGUGCUCAGGCCUAUGUUUUUAUCUCCAGUGUAAAGGGAAGCAGAAGACUGCUCUGAAUUUCUUCAUAUAGUGAGCAAGCAGCUGAAAUAAUAUUGCCUCACAAACCAUUAUGUAUUUUUUAUUACUAAGAUAGUAAAAUAUUGAAAUGACUUCCGACAGAAAGAGUAGAGCAAGGGAAAACACCCAGGAGAAAUGGGUUUAUCUCAGAGGCUUUAAUUGAAUGGUGUAAAACAUUUUUAUGGUGAAAAGAAAAGAUGAUUUAUUUUGCUCUUAUGAUCAUCUGUACUGAAAAGGAAUGCCUCCAGCAAAGAGCUUUCCCACUCCCAUGUUUACCUGCCAUGAGAGGAAGGUGGUGGUGAACCCAGCACGCUCAUAGCAAACCUGAACCUGAUCUUUUCCAGGGACUGAGCUGGAGCCCCAUGCACACCAUGGGAUGUGCCAGGGAUGAGGGGAAGAAGCAGCUCCUGCCAUCCCCAGGACGGUCCCCUCCUUUGCUCCAUUGCAGAGACAAGACCUCUAAGAAAGGUGUUCACUUGGAUUGAUUUUUAUCACCUUCAACAAACUGCCUAUGAAUGGGAUUUGCUGUGUGGCAACAGUUCAUUACAUGAUUUGAUUUCCUGGACAAUCCUGGAGAUACUCUAAUUUAGCAAAUGAUUCUUGCAAAAGAGCCACUUAGCCCUGGUUUUACUCCCUCUGAGUGGCCUUGCCCGUGGCUGGAAAGCAGAUCUCAUUUUGAAGUUCAGACUACUUGGUCUGUCUUUGCAGCCCCUCGUGUGUGCUUGUGCCCGUGGCUGGACCUUGGUGCCACCCAAAGGCUGUGACACCGACUGCGAGCUCGGGGAAGAAUCUGAAGCAAGGUCUCAUUUCCUGAUGCUGCAUCUUGGAGGGUCUGGGGUGGGAGCUGCACUGGGUCAUGGGAAGAGCUUUGCUGAAACAAGGCAGAAAACAGCAAUGCCCUGAGAAACUCUGAGGUCUUUAUGUUAUCUAUGGUUGCCAGAGGAAGAGGUUCCCUCCUCCUCCUCUCAGUGAUGGUGCAGGGUAUCAUGGCAUGGGUUUGUGAGGAAUACCCAAAAGCAACUACACUCCAAGAAGCAAAGACAUGCUCUGUAUCGAGAGGAUUUAUCCAGCAAGAUGGAUCAGGGCAAAAACACACAAGCUCCCUCAUUUUGAGGGGCUGGAUGGGAGUGUGUUGGGUUUGAGGAUGGUGAUGGCUGGUCCCAUCUCCUCUCCCUGUCUGGUGAGCAGCAAUUUGGGACUGCACCUUUUCCCUGCUGGCCCAGAACUGACUGGGACCCCGAGGGGACACCCUGGUGGGUGUCCCUUGCCCAGUGCCUGUCCUUGGGAGCUGUGCUGAGCUCUGCUUUGCUCCAGGGCUUUGCUGACACUUAAAGAGGGCAGCUGUUCUCCUUUUGCUGAAGCAGCCUCCUAUUGCUAAGGCAAGAUGAUUGCAUUUCAUACCUUCCCAGCUCUAAUUUGCACUUCUUUGGGGAAAUUGAUAGGACAAGUUACAUCAGAGCAGCUGCUGUCUCGCUGGGUUUUAAAGGAAAAGGAAACAAAUCCCCCUCUGUAUCGCUUUUAAGUUGUUUUAGUGCUUACAACGUGGGUCUGGCUGACCUCUCAGAGGGCUGAACAUCUGCACCAACAGGAAUGGGGAUGUUAGAAACCAUCAAGGGGCAGUUGUUCACACAGUUACAGAGUAGUUUGGGUGCUGACUGUUUAAGGAUAUGUACAUUGCAGAGCCAGGGAAACCAUGGGCAUUGUGAGUAAUUCUUGAAGAUUUUUUAAUCAUUUUCUAUUAUUUAUUAUUUUCCAGCAUGCUGCUGACACACUGGAGGAAAACCAUGGCCUGCACGUGUGAUAAGGAUUCCCCCACUGUAUCUCUAUUGGGUUUUUUAUUAAACGCUGACAUUAGAACGUG